AAGAGAGAGACAAGAGAGAGAGAGAGAGAGAGAUCCAAGAGCGAACGAGCGAACGCACUCCUUCGUUUUUCAUCGUCUUUCGGGUUUUUUUUUUCUUCCUUUUUCAUUCUUUUUUGUGUCA
rnacentral:ribozyme from 1 species